AGAGCGAACGCUGGCGGCAGGCUUAACACAUGCAAGUCGAGCGGAUGUAGCAAUACAUCAGCGGCAGACGGGAUAGUAACACGUGGGAACGCGCCCUUUGGUUCGGAAUAACUCAGGGAAACUUGAGCUAAUACCGGAUAAGCCCUUACGGGGAAAGAUUUAUCGCCAAAGGAACGGCCCGCGUCCGAUUAGCUAGUUGGUGAGGUAAUGGCUCACCAAGGCGACGAUCGGUAGCUGGUCUGAGAGGAUGACCAGCAUCACUGGGACUGAGACACGGCCCAGACUCCUACGGGAGGCAGCAGUGGGAAUAUUGGACAAUGGGCGCAAGCCUGAUCCAGCCAUGCCGCGUGGAUGAUGAAGGCCCUAGGGUUGUAAAGUCCUUUUAACGGGGAAGAUAAUGACGGUACCCGUAGAAUAAGCCCGGCUAACUUCGUGCCAGCAGCCGC
rnacentral:rRNA from 1 species